rnacentral:rRNA from 1 species
GUUGUAUAGUCAAGUAAUUAAGUGCAUGUGGUGGAUGCCUUGGCAGUCAGAGGCGAUGAAAGACGUGAUAGCCUGCGAAAAGCUCCGGGGAGGCGGCAAAUAUCCUUUGAUCCGGAGAUGUCUGAAUGGGGGAACCCACCUACUUUAAGGUAGGUAUUGCAACAUGAAUACAUAGUGUUGCAAGGCGAACGAGGGGAAGUGAAACAUCUCAGUACCCUUAGGAAAAGAAAUCAAUUGAGAUUCCCUCAGUAGCGGCGAGCGAACGGGGAUCAGCCCAUUAAGUUAUGUGUGUUUUAGUGGAACGCUCUGGGAAGUGCGAACGUAGAGGGUGAUAUUCCCGUACACGAAAGGGCACACAUAAUGAUGACGAGUAGGGCGAGGCACGUGAAACCUUGUCUGAAUAUGGGGGGACCAUCCUCCAAGGCUAAAUACUCCUGACUGACCGAUAGUGAACCAGUACCGUGAGGGAAAGGCGAAAAGAACCCCUGUGAGGGGAGUGAAAUAGAUCCUGAAACCGCAUGCAUACAAGCAGUGGGAGCACCUUCGUGGUGUGACUGCGUACCUUUUGUAUAAUGGGUCAGCGACUUAUAUUCAGUAGCGAGGUUAACCGUAUAGGGGAGCCGUAGAGAAAUCGAGUCUUAAUAGGGCGUUUAGUUGCUGGGUAUAGACCCGAAACCAGGCGAUCUAUCCAUGAGCAGGUUGAAGGUUGGGUAACACUAACUGGAGGACCGAACCCACUGUCGUUGAAAAGCCAGGGGAUGACUUGUGGAUAGGGGUGAAAGGCUAAUCAAGCCUGGUGAUAGCUGGUUCUCCCCGAAAGCUAUUUAGGUAGCGCCUCGGACGAAUACCAUAGGGGGUAGAGCACUGUUUCGGCUAGGGGGUCAUCCCGACUUACCAAACCGAUGCAAACUCCGAAUACCUAUGAGUACUAUCCGGGAGACAGACUGCGGGUGCUAACGUCCGUAGUCAAGAGGAAAACAAUCCAGACCGCCAGCUAAGGCCCCAAAAUCAUAGUUAAGUGGGAAACGAUGUGGGAAGGCAUAGACAGCUAGGAGGUUGGCUUAGAAGCAGCCACCCUUUAAAGAAAGCGUAAUAGCUCACUAGUCGAGUCGGCCUGCGCGGAAGAUGUAACGGGGCUAAAACUAUGUGCCGAAGCUGCGGAUGUAUACUUUGUAUACGUGGUAGGGGAGCGUUCUGUAAGCCGAUGAAGGUGUGUUGAGAAGCAUGCUGGAGGUAUCAGAAGUGCGAAUGCUGACGUGAGUAACGACAAAACGGGUGAAAAACCCGUUCGCCGAAAGACCAAGGGUUCCAGUCCAACGUUAAUCGGGGCUGGGUGAGUCGACCCCUAAGGCGAGGCCGAAAGGCGUAGUCGAUGGGAAAAUGGUUAAUAUUCCAUUACUUCUGUGUAAUGCGAUGAGAGGACGGAGAAGGCUAAAUCAGCCUGGCGUUGGUUGUCCAGGUGAAAGGAUGUAGGCAUGUAUCUUAGGCAAAUCCGGGGUACUCUAUGCUGAGAUCUGAUAGCAAGCUGUACUUGUACAGCGAAGUGGUUGAUGCCAUGCUUCCAGGAAAAGUCUCUAAGCUUCAGUUACACAGGAAUCGUACCCGAAACCGACACAGGUGGUCAGGUCGAGUAGACCAAGGCGCUUGAGAGAACUCUGCUGAAGGAACUAGGCAAAAUGGUACCGUAACUUCGGGAGAAGGUACGCUGUUGUUGGUGAUGGAACUCGCUUCCUGAGCUGACGACAGCCGCAGAAACCAGGCCGCUGCAACUGUUUAUUAAAAACAUAGCACUCUGCAAACACGAAAGUGGACGUAUAGGGUGUGAUGCCUGCCCGGUGCUGGAAGGUUAAUUGAUGGGGUUAGCGUAAGCGAAGCUCUUGAUCGAAGCCCC